rnacentral:rRNA from 1 species
UACGUAGGUGGCAAGCGUUGUCCGGAUUUACUGGGCGUAAAGGAUGCGUAGGCGGAUUUUUAAGUGAGAUGUGAAAUACCCGGGCUUAACUUGGGUGCUGCAUUUCAAACUGGAAGUCUAGAGUGCAGGAGAGGAAAGUGGAAUUCCUAGUGUAGCGGUGAAAUGCGUAGAGAUUAGGAAGAACACCAGUGGCGAAGGCGACUUUCUGGACUGUAACUGACGCUGAGGCAUGAAAGCGUGGGUAG